GAUGAACGCUGGCGGCGUGCCUAAUACAUGCAAGUCGAGCGAAAGGACGCGAAGCUUGCUUUUCUGAUGUUAGCGGCGGACGGGAGAGUAACACGUGGAUACCCUCCCUAUAAGACUGGGAUAACUUCGGGACACCGGAGAUAAUACCGGAUAAUAUUUUGCACCGCAUGGUUCAAAAGUGAAAGACGGUCUUGCUGUCACUUCUCGAUGGAUCCGCGCUGCAUUAGCUAGUUGGUACGGUAACGGCUUACCACGGCAACGAUGCAUGGCCGACCUGAGAGGCUGAUCGCCGACCCGGGAACGUAGACACGGUCCAGACGCCUACGGGAGGCAGCAGUAGCGAAUCGUACGCAAUGGGCGAGAGCCUGACGGAGUAACGCCGCGUGAGUUGUGAAGGUCUUCGGAGCGGAAAACCCGGUUACUAGUUAAAAACAGAUUUGGAAUUUACUGAGCACAGCGUGACGGUACUUAAUCAGAAAGCCCCGGCUAACUACGUG
rnacentral:rRNA from 1 species